rnacentral:rRNA from 1 species
UACGUAGGGUGCGAGCGUUAAUCGGAAUUACUGGGCGUAAAGCGUGCGCAGGCGGUUUUGUAAGCCAGAUGUGAAAUCCCCGGGCUUAACCUGGGAAUUGCAUUUGUGACUGCACGGCUAGAGUGUGUCAGAGGGGGGUAGAAUUCCACGUGUAGCAGUGAAAUGCGUAGAUAUGUGGAGGAAUACCGAUGGCGAAGGCAGCCCCCUGGGAUAACACUGACGCUCAUGCACGAAAGCGUGGGGAGCAAACAGG